rnacentral:rRNA from 1 species
UACAGGAGGUGUCAAACGUUGUCCGGAAUUAUUGGGCGUAAAGGGCGCGUAGGCGGCCGGGUAAGUGAGAUGUGAAAUCCCCGGGCUUAACCCGUGGGAACUGCGUUUGAAACUACAGAGCUAGAGUGUGGCAGAGGGGGGUGGAAUUCCGAAUGUGUAGCAGUGAAAUGCGUAGAGAUAUGGAAGACAUCGAUGGCGAAGGCAGCCCCUGGGUUAACACUGACGCUCAUGCACGAAAGCGUGGGG